rnacentral:rRNA from 1 species
GAUGAACGCUGGCGGCGUGCCUAAUACAUGCAAGUCGAGCGAACAGACGAGGAGCUUGCUCCUCUGACGUUAGCGGCGGACGGGUGAGUAACACGUGGAUAACCUACCUAUAAGACUGGGAUAAUUUCGGGAAACCGGAGCUAAUACCGGAUAAUAUAUUGAACCGCAUGGUUCAAUAGUGAAUGACGGCUUUGCUGUCACUUAUAGAUGGUUCCGCGCCGCAUUAGCUAGUUGGUAAGGUAACGGCUUACCAAGGCAACGAUGCGUAGCCGACCUGAGAGGGUGAUCGGCCACACUGGAACUGAGACACGGUCCAGACUCCUACGGGAGGCAGCAGUAGGGAAUCUUCGGCAAUGGGCGAAAGCCUGACGGAGCAACGCCGCGUGAGCGAUGAAGGUCUUCGGAUCGUAAAGCUCUGUUAUUGGGGAAGAACAAAUGUGUAAGUAACUAUGCACGUCUUGACGGUACCUAAUCAGAAAGCAACGGCUAACUACGUG